CAGCAGUGGGGAAUAUUGGACAAUGGGCGAAAGCCUGAUCCAGCCAUGCCGCGUGUGUGAAGAAGGUCUUCGGAUUGUAAAGCACUUUAAGUUGGGAGGAAGGGCAGUAGCUUAAUACUCNNCNNUUUUGACGUUACCGACAGAAUAAGCACCGGCUAACUCUGUGCCAGCAGCCGCGGUAAUACAGAGGGUGCAAGCGUUAAUCGGAAUUACUGGGCGUAAAGCGCGCGUAGGUGGUUUGUUAAGUUGGAUGUGAAAUCCCCGGGCUNAACCUGGGAACUCAUNNAAAACNNACNNACNUGAGUUAUGUAGAGGGGG
rnacentral:rRNA from 1 species